UACGUAGGGUGCAAGCGUUAAUCGGAAUUAUUGGGCGUAAAGCGCGCGCAGGUGGUUUCUUAAGUCUGAUGUGAAAGCCCACGGCUCAACCGUGGGAGGGUCAUUGGAAACUGGGGAACUUGAGUGCAGGAGAGAAGAGUGGAAUUCCACGUGUAGCGGUGAAAUGCGUAGAGAUGUGGAGGAACACCAGUGGCGAAGGCGACUCACUGGCCCGAUACUGACGCUGAGGUGCGAAAGCGUGGGGAGCAAACAGG
rnacentral:rRNA from 1 species